rnacentral:lncRNA from 1 species
AAAGAGGAGCCUGCUGGUCUGCUGGCGGGCAGGCGGCGCUGGGCCGGAGCCUCUCCCUCCGGUGCGCACAGCGCACCCUCUCCUCCCCCGGCCGCCCGUCGCAGCGCGGAGAGGGCGUGUCGGCACCCUGCCUGGCGAGCGCCCACCCCUACAAUGGCUGCGAGCGCGCGGGACGGAGGGUGCACCGCCGCUCCCCGGGGACUUGCACGGGUGGCGCGCCUAGCCCAGAGCCCGCUUGUAGUGAGCGCUCAGUAGGGCGGGAAAGCUGCUGCCGCUACUGCGGCCUUCUGAGAAGACGCCCAUUCUCUGAUGUCAGGACUGCAUCGCCGAGUCCUGAUUGCAAAUAGCGAAAUAUAUAAUUAAGGAGAGUUCGGGGGCGUAUCCUGCAAUGGGAUGCCGAGUUCGAUAAAGUUGCAGGAUGCUGGGAAAGUGGAUUGAUUUGCUGUUGCUAAAUGAAUGGAAACAGCGUUAGAGCUUCUGUCCACGAUCCAUCAGUCUAUCGAGAUUGCUGAUUGCCUAUGACUUGGACGGUUGAUGGUUUUCAGGCCCACUGAGAGCAGCCAGCGUUGGUAUAACCGCAGGGAGCCCUCCUGGGAGGUUGAACCUGCAGAGCGCAAAUGUGCCCAGGUUGAUUUGGGGCCUAGUGGUCCAUUUUCACAGCUCCACUGCCUAUCUGCAUAACCAGGAGCCCUCAUUCAGAUGAACGCCAAAUGGGCCAGAGGGAGGAGAAUCAAAUGAGCAACUUUUAAAAGAUAUUAAGACAUAGGCACCUAACUCCGGACAGUUCCUUUAACCCUUGAGCUAACCAUUUGAAGCACAAAACAUAACAAAAGAAAAGACUGGGGGGAGUGGGGCCAAAAGAAACCAAGUGCAAAAUUCUGUACACUUGUGUCAGAUUCACUCCGUAAUGGGAAAAGGUCUGGCUUUGAAAACUUUAUGGAUCAAAGGGAUGCAUGGAGUUACACAGCACAGCUGCAGAAGAUAAUGUUCCCCUGGAUCACUCUGCCCAACUCUUAACUGCAACCCACCUUCCCCAUCCGUCUCCCCGAAAUCACCCGGAAGGGUGUUACCUUCAGGAAGUAACUGAUCUCUUGAUCACCCCUGCUGGAUCCUGUCCCCAAGGGCGUUCGAAUGCAUCCGACUCAUCUUCACCUUGCCAAUAACGGGUGCUUGACACAUCGUUUGCUGCCAAUCAUUAUUGUGAUUUUAAUACUAUUGGUAUUCUAACUAUCAAGAUGACUGCUUGUAGAGCCAGAUUGCCUGGAUUCAAACUCCAGUUCACAACCUACUAACUGUAUGCCUUUAGGUAUGUUACUUAACCUUUCUGGGCCUCAGUUUCCUCAUCCAUCUGUAAAUGGGGAUAAUGAUGGCUUCUACCUGAUAGGGCUGUUCUGAACAUUACAUGAGCUGAUCGAUGAAAGCACUUCAAGUGGUACCUGGCAUCUCGUAAACUCAGAUGCCUCUGAUGGAUUCGAAAUAACCAGAUAUAUUUCUGAAUUGCUUCAUAUGAAACAGUUGGGAAAAGAGAUUAAGGAAGGGAUGGUGCUGUUGGCUCCAGGCAGUGACUCAAGGAGGCAUUCAUGGUGAAAGAAGAAAGGCCUUUCUCAGGUGAUGCUUCAUCUUCCCCCACGUGCUCUGAUACCCUGUCCCUGCCUUGAUGUGUCUAUAAAUACAAACAGCAGGAGACCCGCAUCAGUAGACAAAGCAGGUGGCUGCAACCUAUUCUUCUUCCCAAUGGCCACUGGGACAGUUCCUCUCCCCCAGAACUUGUUGUUUAUAUUUAUUUUACACUAAAGCUAUUUUAACAUAAACCUGUUGAAAUAGGAGAGGGCUUCCCAUCUCACACCUCCACAGAUGUGUAUUUUCUAGAACAAAUUCAAGACUAAUCAUAAAAUGAAAACAGAUUUCCACAAAGUUGUUCUUUAUAAUGUAAAUUUUUUUCUGACAGGCAGCUUAAUACUUCAAAGGGCAACCCAUUCCUUUAUUGAUUAUAACUAAUUGUUUGAGAUUUUCUUUAGCAUGAGUUGAAAUUUUUCUUCCUUUGUCAAAGUGAAGGAAGGGACUUGUAUACAAGGAAGGUCCUUGUAUAAAGGACCUAUCAUCAAGGUACCAUCUCUCUUUAAACUUUAACUCCCAGAGGAGAAAUACCUAUAGCCACACAAUUCAUGUACUUUUUAGUCAUUGGAUCUCUAUGACUAUUAUCAUUAUAGAAACUGUUUUAAUAUAAUAAUAAUUUGAAAACUGGAUUUUAAGAAUACAAAUUUAGAAAUAGCAGUUCUCUCUAGAGACUCAUUCAUGAAUAUGGAAAGAUCUUUUAUCAGAUAAUUCCCCCCAGGGGUCCUUUAAAUAGCAAUCUCCUUCGUUUUGAUUCAAUUUGUAGAAAUCCCAUCUAGAUGCAUUACUGGACCACACAUUGUGUAAAGGAAGGUACAUUAUGUGUUGGGUAACCAUUUGGCUCUCUCUUUCUUCCCAACUUGUGACUAAUUGAUUUUGCCAUUAAUUGGGAUUUCCCCUGGAGGCCAUUUGAUCUGUUUGCAGGAUGAGCAGGGAGUUAGGGCAGUCCCUCCAGAUGGGACGGCUUUCAAUAAGCAGACAGUCCAAAGGGGCAUCAGAGUGAUACAGAAACGAUUAAUUGAAUAACUCACUUGAAAAUCAUGUGCUGCUUUAAAGACCUAAAAGCUAAGUAAAUACCUAAGUAAAGGCCAUACUGAUCAAGUAAGACUCCUUGUUGCAGCCUGGCUGAGAAUAAUGCCAGGAAAAAAAAAAUUUAAGAGCAUCCCAUUAAUGGAUUCUUUAAAAUACUGGAAGCAUGAUUCCAGGCAAUAACAUACUGUAAUCCCCAUAAUACUCACAUUUGCAUAACUCUAGAUAAUUUAUGAAGCAUUUUCGCAGAUACUGUGCAGAUCUCACACUGACACGGGGGUGGGUUGGCUGUGAAAGGGCUCAACUGGACUUACAUUCCAGGAGCAGAAACAGGCUUGGAGCUGUGGACUUCUCAGAGGCAUACAACUAGUAAGUGGCAGAAAUAUUACCAGAACCCAAAACUUCUAAUUCUAAAUUUCUUGACAACACACAGCACCAUCUCCCCAGUGCAUCACAGCUAAAACCACCUUACUGGACUCUGUUUUACCCUGGAGAAGAAAUGCAUACUGACUGAGGACUCUGCUCCAUGCCUGGCAAAAUAUUUGUAUUAUUUUUACAAGUAUGUUUUAGUUUUAUACAGAUAAAUACAAUUUUAAAUGGUUAAAGAUGGCCUCAUAUUUAAAAAGCACAUUGGGAGCCACUGUGUUAGAUUAUGCAGUGCAGACAUAGAGAACCAAA